rnacentral:rRNA from 1 species
AUUGAACGCUGGCGGCAUGCUUUACACAUGCAAGUCGAACGGCAGCGCGGGCUUCGGCCUGGCGGCGAGUGGCGAACGGGUGAGUAAUGCAUCGGAACGUGCCCAGUAGUGGGGGAUAGCCUGGCGAAAGCCGGAUUAAUACCGCAUACGACCUGAGGGUGAAAGCGGGGGACCGAAAGGCCUCGCGCUAUUGGAGCGGCCGAUGACGGAUUAGCUAGUUGGUGGGGUAAAGGCUUACCAAGGCGACGAUCCGUAGCUGGUCUGAGAGGACGACCAGCCACACUGGGACUGAGACACGGCCCAGACUCCUACGGGAGGCAGCAGUGGGGAAUUUUGGACAAUGGGGGCAACCCUGAUCCAGCCAUGCCGCGUGCGGGAAGAAGGCCUUCGGGUUGUAAACCGCUUUUGUUCGGGAAGAAAUCCUCUGGGCUAAUACCCCGGGGGGAUGACGGUACCGGAAGAAUAAGCACCGGCUAACUACGUG